AACACACCUAUUCAGGAACAGACAGACAGACCGUGCAGUCUGUACAUGGAACAGAUAGGCAGACACGUGAAUGUCGUGGUUCAUUUUGACACGGUCGGCGUUUUAGUUUUAAAUACGUCUGUACGAUAUUAAUUUUUACAGACCAGUUAAAAUAAAUUGCCCGUCGAUUUGGACUGCUGAAAAAAGAAGCAAAAAAAAAGAAGAAGGGAUGCUCUUGAGAAGAGAGAGCUAAAAAUAGACAGAAACGUGCGUGCCAGUGGAAAGAGGAAAAAAGAGUGCAAGCGAGCAAAAGAGGUGUUUCCGGGCAGUGCUCGUCCCGUCUUUUUUAUUGUAACGCUUGGGGGAGGAAAGAAGAAUAGAGGAAGGUAGGGGAAGAGACAGAGUAGGCUCCAUUUAUAAAAACUGAUUGAAUGAACAGAAUUAAUACUGCUGAGAUCUGUAAAGACGCAGAGGACAGGUGGCUUUAAAAUCGACAAAAAAUGUGCCAAUAUUUUGAGGCGAGACGCUGAUUGUGAAUAGGAGAGGUCGAGAGAGAUAAUUAGACGUACAGUAGACGACACGCUCAAUAUGAUUAUUAAUGCGCUGCUAUAACGUUGAAUAACAAUAAUAUUUACAAAAUUCACACUUAAAGCAAUUUUAUCAAGUAAGGUGUGCAGGGAAAAAUAUGAUUUGCACUGAGAACCGAAGAUAAAUUGGAAAUUAUUUUCCCUCCGAUAAUACAAACCAAAAAGCAACGUUGUUUUUGCGUUUGUGUGUUGAUGUGUGUGUGUUUGUAUACACGCACACUGUACACACACUCAAACCAAGCCCGACCAAAAUCAAGCUCCUCCUUCCCCCCUCCUCCCUCCGUUCUCUCUCUCCUCCUCUCCCUCCCUCCGGUGCCCUAUGCUCAGUUCGGUGUGUGUCUCCUCAUUCAAAGGGCGAAAGGGUGGGAACAAGUCGUCCAACAAAGCAUGUUACAGCGCAGACAUGACUUGUCCGUCAGAAAGCGAGAAAAUCGUGAUAAACUGCGGGGGGGUGAGACACGAGACCUACCGCAGUACCCUCAAAACCUUACCCGGCACCCGGUUGUCGUGGCUCACCGAGCCGGACGCAUUUAGCAACUUCGACUACGACCCCAAAUCCGACGAGUUCUUCUUUGAUCGCCAUCCAAACACCUUCGCGUUCAUCCUCAACUAUUACCGAACGGGAAAGUUGCACUGUCCGAACGACGUGUGCGGUCCGUUGUUCGAGGAGGAGCUGGCGUUUUGGGGCAUCGAUGAAACAGAUGUGGAAGCGUGUUGCUGGAUGAAUUAUCGCCAACACAGGGACGCGGAGGAGGCACUGGACAGCUUCGAGACCCCCGAACCUGACCCUCCGGAAGAUGACCCCGCGCUAACGGGAGGCGCGGACGGAGACCUAAAGAGACUGUGUAUGCAAGAAGACGGGAGAAAAGCCAGCUGGUGGAACGUGUGGCAACCCAGAAUUUGGGCGCUUUUUGAGGAUCCAUAUUCUUCUAAAUAUGCGCGGUACGUGGCGUUCGGCUCCCUCCUCUUCAUCCUCAUCUCCAUCUCCACGUUUUGCCUGGAGACGCACGAGGCCUUCAACACCAUCUACAACAAGACGGAGCUCGUGACGGUGGACAACCGCACGCGGGAGGAGGUGGUCUUCGAGGUGGUCACCGACAGCUGGCUGACCUACGUGGAGGGCAUGUGCGUCAUCUGGUUCACCAUCGAGGUCCUGCUCCGGGUCAUCUUCUGCCCGGACAAGGCCGAGUUCUUCAAGAGCACCCUCAACAUCAUCGACUUCGUGGCCAUCCUGCCCUUCUACCUGGAGGUGGGGCUGAGCGGCCUGUCCUCCAAGGCCGCCAAGGACGUGCUGGGCUUCCUGCGUGUGGUGCGCUUCGUCCGAAUCCUCCGGAUCUUCAAGCUCACCCGCCACUUCGUGGGCCUCCGGGUCUUGGGCCACACCCUGAGGGCCAGCACCAACGAGUUCCUCCUCCUCAUCAUCUUCCUGGCGCUGGGGGUCCUCAUCUUCGCCACCAUGAUCUACUACGCCGAGCGGAUCGGCGCCGACCCGGGGGACCCCACCGCCAGCGCCCACACUAACUUCAAGAACAUCCCCAUCGGGUUCUGGUGGGCGGUGGUCACCAUGACCACCCUGGGCUACGGGGACAUGUACCCCGUCACGUGGUCGGGCAUGCUGGUGGGCGCCCUGUGCGCCCUGGCGGGGGUGCUGACCAUCGCCAUGCCCGUGCCCGUCAUCGUCAACAACUUCGGGAUGUACUACUCCCUGGCCAUGGCCAAGCAGAAGCUCCCCAAGAAGAAGAACAAGCAUAUCCCCCGGGCCCCCCAGCCCGGCUCGCCCAACUACUGCAAGCCCGACGCGCUGGCUAUGGCCACCGCCUCGCCCCACAGGAUCAUGGGAAACGUGCUGGGCGGGGUUGUCGGGUCAGGAAGCGUAGGGGGGGACUGUCCCCUGGCGCAAGAGGAGAUUAUCGAAAUCAAUCGUGCGGACUCCAAGCAGAACGGAGAUGCCGCCAACGCCGCGCUGGCCAAUGAGGACUGCCCCACCAUUGACCAGGUGCUGGGGCCGGACGAGAAGAGCCCGGCGACAAGCGCGGUCAGCCGCGAGCGCUUCCCCCACGACCGCGCCUGCUUCCUCCUCAGCACCGGCGAAUUCAGAGCCACAGACGGGAAUGUGAGGAAAGGUUGUGUCAUAUCGUGCGUUUAGAACUAUUCUGAAAGCCCCGUGCUUAUCAGAUAUAUGCAAAAUGAAGCAGUUACUGUGAAUUAAUGCUAAAACAGAAAAAAACACUUCUUCCUUCAUGCGUUUUAUCCGAUUUUUUUCUUAACCCUAAAUGCAUCCUCCUUUCCCCUCCUCCCAUCCUUGUCAUCCUUGCUCUCAUUUUCCUUUCUUUCCAUCCACGUUCUAUCCAUCCAUCGCUCAUAUUCCCGUCUUCCCCUUCUCUGGAGAUGUCUUGGAAAAACAGACGAAGCCGAGAAGCUCCUCAGAUUUAAAUGUAGCAUUCGCGUUCCUCCCGAACCUCUGAUCUGAUCAAGGGGUCGCACGCGGGCGAGGCAGGUGCUCGCACAACGGGCUGCGUUGUGCCGGCGUCACGAUAUCUGAUCUGAUCGCGAAAAUCACUGCGUACCGAAAUUGGCGCUAAUGGGCCAGCAGCCCGAGAGAGCCGCUCGAGUUUCGGCUCAGCCCCGGACCAUGAAUAAUUAAGACGAGGUUCUGCACUUGAGUACGCGGCGCUGUUUAAAUAACGUUGCCUUGCGGCCGCGUCACCAGUUAAAUGUUUGUACAUUGCGCCAUUGCUGCCAUUCAGGGCAGACCAUAUUUCUUACCAUUCUCAGCAAACCUAUUCAUUCCAAAUGGUGUGAGCCAGUUAGAUGUAUUUUUAUAUCAGAAUGUUUGAUUGGAUGUUGUCUUCUAGAGACUAACACGGUCCCACGGUGUGUGGACUGUAGCCCCAGUGGCUAAAACCACGUGACGCAAAACUGCAUGAGUUUUAUUGAAACAGGACGGCUUAUUUAAUACAUUGUCGCAUUUUGUGGUCUAGCUUAUGUUCUCAAUGGCCCGACAGAAGAAUAGGCAGUUCAUUGAGAUGUUGUUUUCUAGAAGUGAGUCUGCACGGGUGUAUUUCAAGGUGUACAGACAGCCAGGCUGCUAGUGAGUAGUGUUGUUAAACAAAGAAUAUUUUAUAUAAUGCAUUUAUCAGAAACUGUGGAAAGAAAACUUAAAUGAUCUCAUCGGAAUAUAGAAAAUGUACCUGGAUAUAAAUAUCCAUUUACCAAAUACCAUUUAACACAGUCUUAUCCAAAUUCCAUGCAUCAUGCUUAUUUGCAGUGACUGUUUGAAAUGCACAACAUUAGCAUUUGUUGUGAGCAUUGCAAGAUUGGUUAUGUAAAGGAUGUUGGUCACUGCAGUGUUGUGUAUAUGGGGAGGUUGGUCAUUAAUGUAGAAAAGGAGGAACUGAGCUCAGCUGGACCGUUGGCCAAAUCUAUUGGCUCCUCCCAUUAAGUAAGUAGCCCGGCCCCACUGCUCCACUAUGAGGCACCGCCAUUGGCUGGAAUUUGUGACUGUGUUAGCGUUGCCAGGUUACAGAGUUCAGGGCUCUUCUAGGGCCAAUCGGAAGAUAAGAACACCAUUUGCUUAGUGAGACUGAGACAGGAGAAAGAGAAAAGGGUGAAGGCGUGUUCAGACCUUCACCACACAGAGCCUGGGAACACAACGAGAACCCAGGCUGGAGAUCUCUGGCCGGAGGGGGUCACAGCCAUUAAAGCCGCAGUGUGGAGGGAACUUAGAGCGGAACAAAAAAAAAAGAGAAGUAAUAACGAGUAAGAGCAACGCACAGGCUGGUUAAGGGACACCGGAAUCAGGCAUCGUCCGAGCCUGAGUUUAGUUAUUGCUCGGUGUACUGACUUGUACGGUCGAAUCAGGUUUUAAUUAGUCCCGUUAUUUUAUUUUAUUUUAUUUUAUUACCCCCAAACCAUGUCCCUGUUUGUUCACUCAUGUUUAUUUUCUCUACAUCUCCGUACCGCUCUUCCUGCUGUCUUGGUCUAGUUCAUUUUCGAUCUCAUCCCUGAUCAAAACUCAGGAAUUCCCCUUCCAUUGGCUACCCCUUCUCUAGCAUUUAUUUCUUAGUGCUUCCACGGUCCUUCUGAAACUGAAGAGGGAGUUUUAAAAUGUUUUCUUACUCUGAGUAACUGUAUCCGCCUCUCUCCUGCUAUACUUUAUCUCAGUAUCCUUCAAAUAUGGCCUUAAAAGGUUCAUUUUUUUCUUCUUCUUCAUAUCAUUUGUGAUCGUAUUCUAUUUUUUUCUGUUUUGUAAAUGUUGAUAUUUUUAUUUGUCCCGUCUGCCGACCCGUCGCCCCCCAUCUCUCUUUCCGUCUGUGUCUCUCUUCCAUCUACUCCUUCUUCUUAUUCCCUUUUUUCUUGGUAUUUUUUACACGUAACUCCACUGCUUCUGGGGGUGGGGUGGACGGAAAAAAAAAACAACUUUUAAAACCUAAAAUAAGCAAAACAACAAAAUUGGGGGAAAGAAAUCAACAAAAAACUAAAAAUUGAAAUCUUCCCAAAAACGGAUUACCAGCUACAGAAAACAAGAAUAGAAAUGGACAGAGCAAAACAAAAAAAGAAUGAAAAGAAAGAAAGAUGGACAGAUUUUAUGUUCUGGGGGACGAGUAGGAACUAUAUAUUAAAGAGAGGAUUGUCGACAAAGGAAGAAGGAGGGAUGUCAUGGAGAGCGAUUUGUGGAAGAAGGAAAAGAACAAAAGAAAGGAGCAAAGAAGCUGAUGGCUUCUCAGUUCUUGAGUUUUUAAAAUCCCCUUUUUGCCUGAAGAAGAGAUAAAACGAGCAAGAAAGCGAGAGAGAGAUAGAGAGAGAAAGUGCGUGUGGAUGACAACGGGAGGACGUUCAGAAGAGAAGAACAAAAGAAGUCUGACUUUUUUUGCACCGUAACCAAAGCAACCUCAUUGGGACUCGAGUCAGAUCGGCCUCUGACAGACAGCUGGACAUUCUCAACAUCACGCCCCGGAAAACCAUGACCGUCCAAUCAGCUUUCACUAUUGCCGCUGACUGACCACCAGAGCAAACCACAGGCUCGGCUGGCAUCUAACUGACGCAUCACCAUAUGUCAAAUGACUGCAUGACCCAGAAUCCCCAUCGAACAGAUGCCUGUGUAGGAUGCAUCUUGGCACACUGUAGCACUUGCUGAAAAGGGAACGACUCUCCGAUUGACAGACUGGCAAGGCAUCUCAUGUUUGGCAUCCCCUACCGUGGCACCGUACGCUCAUAAGAGAAAGAGCGAGGCUUCCAACUCAACCCUGUCCACUCUGGCAGGAAGGACUCACCUCCAUUUUCCCAGUGGACCACAGGAACGGACUGGGAUACAACGAAAGCAGCUGAGAGAGAGGACGUGCAGGGAGAAAACAUUCGGGAUUGAGCUUCUGAGCCUUUGGGAUUACGGUUGCAUUCUUGGAAUUCUGGGAAAAAUGGAGAUUGAACUGAGAUGAGGAUGUCUGUCAGGAAUGAAUUCUGGGUAAAGGAAAGAGAGGGGUGAUUUUUGGUUCAUGUCAAAGUAAUGUUAACCAAGAGCAAAGAAAACAAACAGCAAUUGGCCGUUUUUUUUUUUGUGACACUUCUGGACUCUACAUUCAGUCAAACUGAGCUUGAUCUCCAUCCAUCCACCACUCAAAUCAUUUCAGUCCUUCGAACCUUCUCUUUCGCUUUCUCUCUCUCUCUCUGGUCAAACGUUAUUUGCCCAAGCCAGGACCCUUAUGUGACUCAAGAUAAACUCGCAAGAAAAUCUUAAAUUGCCCCCUACCCCACAAAUUUAUUCGGGGGCUUGGGUGGAAAAGACCUGAGAAGUGUUCGUCUAAUGUCUCAAUGACACAUCUGAGCUUUCGUAAAGUUAACUUAUAAAAUUAUGACUUAUGAAAUUAUGACAGGGUCCUCUGAGUCAAAUCAGGCAUCAAAACUUGACUAGAUGGUUUCCGGGUCAACUGAAGCAACACCCCUCGGUUGGGGCCUCUGCCGUGACUUUAGCUGACCCUCAGCAGAGCCGUAUCUCAACAGGCACUUGUGGAUCAGUCGCCAACGUGACAAGUCAAAGACUUUAAUGGACAAUUCACUCUAGGUGAACCUUAGCAAACCAUUUGGUUCAAGUACAGCAGCUAUGAAUAUUGAAGAAAAAAACUUUAUCGAACAACCCGCCCAAACUCCAGUUUAAUUCAGAAAUCCAGUCAAAGGAAGCUCAGUUGAGCCACAGCCAAACGACCGACCACAACGAGAUUUGGCAAGUGCCUCAAGCUCAUCCCAAAUGUCAAAUAGUUAUAUUUGACACUCACUGGGAACCAAGUGUGAAUUAUCGCACAGCAGGAAUUCGAAAAAAUUAAUUCUCACUGUCAUCUACUACCUUACCAAGUGCAUCUGUCUUCAUCAUUCAACCGUGUGUUAAUACAUAGGAAAGCAGCCAAAUACUCUGCAGGUGACACGAGAGAACUACCUUCGAACCAGAGGAGUAGCACACAAACACAAACCAAAAUGAUGCUCUCUACAUAGACGAUGGAUGCAAUUUGUUAAUACGCUAAAGCUACAUCUCCCAGUUUCUCACUCUCUCUCGAUCCCCCCGGCCCCUCCCCCACUCAGCAAUGCCGUUUAACCGAUGGGGUCCAAAGGGAUUUGAACUGUCAGAUUUACAUUUUUGCAACAAAUGAGAAUCCAUCUCACGACUACAUGCAAGUAUUGACACAUACACGCACACAAACACACACGCACGCAUGCACGCGCGCACACACACACACACACCUCUGCAUCAUUAAGCACCGACUGCCCCUGCCAGUCACAGCGUAUCAGACCCAGUGAAACACCCAGCCGCGACAGAGGAAGACUCCGAUCGUCCCUGGGAGACUCGGAGACUCGCGAAGUCGCGCCCCGUGAAAAGGACGCUCUGAGUCAUCGGAACCAGUUCUUCAGUCACGCGCCGCGCGUCGCUCCUGCAAACCUCGGAAGGAACUCACAAACGAGCGAAAACACCAACGAGUGAAACGGUCACAUUUCUCCUUCUCUCGCUCUAACCCUUUAACAUCCCAGCGUUCAUCCCUGCUCUCCUGAGCUCCGCGUCGUCGCGUGGCCUCGACGGGGGGAAUUUACGCGUGAGGCGUACAAUCCGCGCGGAGAGAAGAGCAGCUUCAUCCAUGCAAAGGAAAAGACACAGGGCGUGGUUUCGGCGAAAGGAAUUUACACUGUUACCACAGCAACGCUGCUACCAACAAUCCCGAAGUAUAAUCGCAACAGCAAAGGGGUAACAGCAAGCAAGUGAAAGGGAAAAAAAGGCGGGAAAAAAAACUGAAAAACAACCGAGUUAAUGGAACUGGUGUCGAGCGAACUUCUCCUGAACUGAUAAAGGGGACAUGCCAGAAGGAGGACGUGCUAAAUUCAGAAAAAUGUACAAAAGGGCAUUCAUUGCACCUCCAAAGGGAUUAUAACACAUGGUCAAGAGGAGCAGGAAAAAAAUGGAUGCUUUGAUAAACUAUUUUAAAAAAGAUUGAAACAACUGAAAAUGCAUUUUUGUUACUUUGUUUACCAGCAUGACUAUUGUGCAUGACUUCUGCAAGUCCUGACUUCAGAUAGAGGAGGGUCGGGAACAAAAACGAAAAAAGAACAAAAAAAAAAAAAAAAAAAAAUUCAAGGAGAAAUGAAACGACGGUUUUAUGUCAUAUGCAACUAAAAUGAAAAAAAAAUACUAUGACAAAACGAUUAUAUUAAAAAGAGGAUCUAUAUUUUGUUUUUGAAUAUAAAAAAAUUAAGAAAUUUAAAAAAAAUAUAUAGGAUUGCAAGAUACAUGUCAGACUAGUUUAUUUAGAUAUAAGAUUGAAACCCACAGAAUCUACCAGAAAUGGACACUUCUAUGAACUUCUCCUGCUACUACUGCUACAGCUACUCCGGCAAAUACGUCUUUCUCGCGGUGAUCCUGCAAACUUCUUCUCCAGCUUCCUGGACUCUUUCCAUAACCCCCCCCCCCCCCCCCCCCCCCCUUUGCUCUGCAGUUGCUCCGUUUUUCGGCAUCGCCUCACGCCCGUGUUCGUGUACGUAGCCUCGACUCCCGGCCCUUCCGCGGGACCGCUGCCGCUUCCCGCCAUCCGCAGCGACCGUUUGGGAAGGUCGUGUUUGAAAAGAAAAAAAAAGAAAAAAAAAGAAAAUCCCGAGCAGUUCGCUUGCCCUAGAGUGCUUCCAGGGUACGGGGUGGCAUUUACGGUCGGACCGAAGUGAACCCCCCUGCAGUGCAGAGCAUGUACUGUGCGCCCACACCUGUUUUUGGCAAUAAUAGCGGCAAGGCCGUUUGGGGAAAGGGUCGUAAGCGAGGGACUUCUCUGUAGCGCGCAUCUUCCGAGAGUUACCUGUGGAAAGGUGCAGGUUGGAGCCGCUCCCGGGGAAGCAGGCUGUUCUGCUGUGUUCGGGCCAGGGCAGCGUGUUGCCACCCUGUUCGCCCAUUGCUGAAGGGUGAAGGUAUGCCUACUCGCUGUUUUUCAUUCUUACGAGCUUCGCUGUUGUUGUUGUCGUCGUCGUUGUUGUUGUCGCGACCGAUGCUUCGGCGCAGAAAAUGGCCGCUUCACCGCCCGCCACCUCUGGUCCGCCAGCCUUCAUCAACAAACACCGAUGAGGGCGAAACGCUAUUCGGUUUUGUUUUUUUUUUUUUGUGUAAAAUGGAAAAAAAAGGCACAGCUUCGGACCCCUCCCCCUCUCCCUGCAGUCAUGGCGGCCUCGCCCUGUAACCACCACAGAUAUCCCUUGCACACCAGCUCGGCCUGCAGCUACGCUGCGGGGCCCCAGAGUCCCCCCACGCUGGGUUCCGCUGACCCUGAGUUAGCGUACGUUAGCGCUCCAAUGAGAAAGCAAGGCAAAGCUGUUCUCCACUGCCACCUUUAAGAAUGGUGUUAUAUCCCAGUAGGUCUCCUUCUUCGAGAAACGCACAUCAGUCGCAUUAUCGUUUGACGGGCUAAAAGCUCAGCUACCUAAAUCAGUCGCAGGCCAGGUGUCAAACCUCCUGCUGUCGUGUUAUCGGGGGGUUGCAGUCAGGUUCAGGAUAUCACUCUAUCGAGUGUUAAAUUGUUUGUAGCUGCUGUGAAUCACUGAGUGUAAAGUCCUACAUGUUAGAUCCGUUAUGAAAUGCAUAUUUUAACUUGAGUGACACUCGGGGAGUGAUCAUACUGCUUCCAUUCGCAAACGUUGCCAUAGCAGCCAGCUGUGGUUCCAUCCCGGAACAUCAUCUCAGUAAUCAGGUUCAUCGGACAGAUAAACACAUGGUGGCAGAGGUAACAAAUAUCAGAACACGAUGCACAUCAUUGCGACAUUUAUUACAAAAUAUAUCAGUCGUUCCCAUGUUCAUAUUAUGCAAUAUUUGCAUAUAUUGUUGAAUGUAUUUUACAAUUUGUGUAAUUUUACAAUAUAUGCUGAAAAUGAUAUAUAUGACAGUGGCAAUCAUUGGUAUAUUUUCUAAUAUGUUUAAUAUGUCUGGACAUAUAUUUGAAAUAUAUUCCUUAGAUCUUAUAGAUCAUGUGACUUUAAUGAGGAGGAGGGACAAGAUGGCCGUGCGCCUCUGGCCUGGUCCCAGAACACGAGGUCUCGUCCCGUCGCCCUCCUCCCUGUAAGCUCAAAGGCGCGCACGAGCGCAGCUGUGGCGUGCGCUCUCUCUUCUGCAUCAUGUGACCCCGCCUGGCGGUUACCGCCCAAUCUGUCACGGUCAGAGCGGGUCCCACGAGAGAGAGCUCCCCCUUCAGGCUGAAUCGGUCUCUGCAAUCGUAGAGACUGCCAGUGCUGGCUCUGAAACGAUACUGCUUUAAUGCUACGCUAACGGGCUCGUUCGAGCAAACGUGCGUCGCUCUACAGGCCCCGUGCAUUGGAAAGGUCCCUGGGUGAUUAACGUGAAAAACCCCACUCUUAAAAUGUCUCGAUGUCUGGUUGUCCUCUGUCCUGAGGUGCCCGGUGACUGAGGGAGCUGCUUGGCAUUCGUACCUGACCCCCUUUUCCGGACGACCACGGCCCCAAACCCAUCAGCGCUGUGCUCGCUAGCGAGUCUGACGGCAGCUUAGGGGAGGAUAUAUGUUCAGGACCCAGAAUAACCUCGCUGACGGUGUUGUGUUCUGCUCAGAGGGAUCAGAGAGAUAAAGUGGCCUGUGGAGUGAGAGAGUGCUCAGAUCCCAAUGACUGCCGUUAGCACGUUAGCGAAGGCAUCAGACCGAUUCAUACACUUAUUCAAAUAUUCAUUUUUGUCCCAAUGGUGCCAACUACUAUGUUCACUUGCCAAAAAAAGUUUUUAUUUACUUGCUUCUUGUAUUCGCAAAUGUGUGAUUUCUGUACUCACCUUGUGAAGGGAAACGUUCAUUCGACUUCAGUUUAGGGGUUACAGAAAGAAAUUUAAAAAAAUAUUCCCAGGCUGGACGCUCUCAACGAUCUCAGGAGAAUGCAGGGAUUGCACAGUGUGUGUUCUGGUUCAAAAAAGUAAAAUUGCAUUUGACAGCGUUCCUGUAGAUGUUGUUAGUAACCCCUAAUCUGAAGUCACCCCUAUUUCUCAGAUGCACAAAAUGAAAACCACAGUUUAGAGAAGGAUUUUAUUCACUCUUUUCCUCAUUCUCACAUAUUCUUUCAUUUGCUCUACGUUAUCAUUUUUGAUUUGUCGUUCACUCCCCCCACACAUCUUUCAGUGGUAUAUCCAGGAGUUUUGUGCCGCUUCCAGUGCGCCCUUAGUGUCCCUUUGUGGACUGUACCACUUUGUGUGGGUAGGGGGAGGCUGUGCAGGGAUUGCCAACAGGAAACCGUACAUUUUCCCAUUACAUUUCAAUAUACACAUUUACACCCCCUUCCUCAUUCACGAACAGUUGUCUGAGCCAUCUGUACAGUCAUCCUCACAUGCGUAAGCACACAGAAGAUACGGGACGUACUGUGAACUCUGGGGCAGUAUGCACUGCGGUCACAUGACCUGGAUUCCGGGACAGUGCUGGAUCAGAUGACCGUCUCCAUGACAGCGCUGCAACGCUGCUUUAACGUUUCGCUUCACACAUCAUGCACUUUUGGACGAGUGAAAACUGGUAAUUUCAGUUUGAACGGGAAAUCCAAGAUCUAACCCGGAUCUGACCGGGUCAAACCACGGCGGUCACGCACACAUUAGUGCUUUUCAGCUCGUGAGACGUCCGCGGUUCCAUUCAACUUUGGGACCGUCGUCAGGAACGCUCACCGAGACAUUUCCGCAAUCAGAAUGAAAGUCCAACGCGACAACCACAGAGGUCUGUUAAAGUCACAGUUAUGAUCGUUACCAUUACCAUACUCCACAUCCAUUCACUCAUCUGAAACUCGGAUCAAGACCAGGUCUGGGAUCCAUUCGCACGUCUAGAUGAGCGUGUCGAUCGUCUUUGUGAUGGGAGUGUCCUACCUUAGAUUCAGUCCCACGUCCUGCCGGGAACAAGAUCAGACCCCCUAGCGGACAGAGACAGGCAGAGCCCUGACCGUGGUCAGCUGUAGCGAAGCACUCAGGGACACCAGCUUGGCGGCCUGGUGUUGACGUUAUCACAGACACAGAGAAGACCGAAGCAAAACGCAUUACCUAAGUCGAGCAACUUAUUUCAUUUUAUUAUUUUGAAUUAUUUAUUUUGCUAACUCAUUAAGGGAAACGUGGUCCUAAAGAAUAGCUUUAUAAUUUAUAAACUGUUUAACUAUGAGGCAUUUUAAAGGAUAUCUUUUCAAGGCUAUCUUUAUUGUCUGCGAGUUUUGAUUAAGACGAGGACGGAUCCUAGCAACUACCUAUGCAAUGUGAGGUUUUAAGACUAUUUCAAGGGGACAUGUUUCACCGCUUGCCAAAGGCGUUUGGAAAACUCAGUCAGAAAUUAGCAUUAGGCAUGAAAUAGGCAGCUUCUGUUCUCACUACUAAUAGCCAGCAGAGUCCACUGUUGUAGUAGCCUAGCCUGCGGCUCUUUCACAUACGUUUUUACAGACUCAUGCUCCACGCACACGGGGAACAAUGUAGCUUGGCGAGAGGGCAAAACGAGGGAAACGCAAAUUCGCCGAAUUUUGUACUUCUUAGUUCUCGUUUCGGCUCCUGAAACGGUUCCACCUCGAUCGUUCAUCAGGUCAUAACCUCAUGGUCCCGCCGUCUCUCGUCUCUGACAUCCUCUCCCCUCUCCUUCCCUCCAUCCCCCCUCUCACGCUCCCCCUGUCCGUCAUGGCGUCCGUCACGGUGUCUGUUAACGCCACAACGUUUGCUACUAAGAGAAUGGAAGAAUCAUGUGAAAUAAUAAGGCACACGUGCAUAAAUAGACUACAGAGAUAUGUAAUAUAUAUUGAAAUGGCUAUAUUGAAGUUGGAGAGAUUGCGUGAUGGAAUGGAGAGAGAGAGAGAGGGAUGGGGAGCCAGCAGAAGGGGAAGACUGAGCGAACGACGGGAAGAAAGACAAAGUGAACUGUGUGGAACGCCCUUUGCCGACGCCGCUCGGUAUCGCAGCUCACCGGGGCUGAUGCUAGGCUAACGGGCUCGUUCGAG